AGUGAACGCUGGCGGUAGGCCUAACACAUGCCAGUCGAACGGCAGCACAGUAAGAGCUUGCUCUUACGGGUGGCGAGUGGCGGACGGGUGAGGAAUACAUCGGAAUCUACUUUUUCGUGGGGGAUAACGUAGGGAAACUUACGCUAAUACCGCAUACGACCUACGGGUGAAAGCAGGGGAUCAUCGGACCUUGCGCGAUUGAAUGAGACGAUGUCGGAUUAGCUAGUUGGCGGGGUAAAGGCCCACCAAGGCGACGAUCCGUAGCUGGUCUGAGAGGAUGAUCAGCCACACUGGAACUGAGACACGGUCCAGACUCCUACGGGAGGCAGCAGUGGGGAAUAUUGGACAAUGGGCGCAAGCCUGAUCCAGCCAUACCGCGUGGGUGAAGAAGGCCUUCGGGUUGUAAAGCCCUUUUGUUGGGAAAGAAAAGCAGCAGGUUAAUACCCCGCUGUUCUGACGGUACCCAAAGAAUAAGCACCGGCUAACUUCGUG
rnacentral:rRNA from 1 species